rnacentral:rRNA from 1 species
CCGCAAGGGGAGUGGCAGACGGGUGAGUAACGCGUGGGAACAUACCCUUUCCUGCGGAAUAGCUCCGGGAAACUGGAAUUAAUACCGCAUACGCCCUACGGGGGAAAGAUUUAUCGGGGAAGGAUUGGCCCGCGUUGGAUUAGCUAGUUGGUGGGGUAAAGGCCUACCAAGGCGACGAUCCAUAGCUGGUCUGAGAGGAUGAUCAGCCACAUUGGGACUGAGACACGGCCCAAACUCCUACGGGAGGCAGCAGUGGGGAAUAUUGGACAAUGGGCGCAAGCCUGAUCCAGCCAUGCCGCGUGAGUGAUGAAGGCCUUAGGGUUGUAAAGCUCUUUCACCGAUGAAGAUAAUGACGGUAGUCGGAGAAGAAGCCCCGGCUAACUUCGUGCCAGCAGCCGCGGUAAUACGAAGGGGGCUAGCGUUGUUCGGAAUUACUGGGCGUAAAGCGCACGUAGGCGGAUAUUUAAGUCAGGGGUGAAAUCCCGCAGCUCAACUGCGGAACUGCCUUUGAUACUGGGUAUCUUGAGUAUGGAAGAGGUAAGUGGAAUUCCGAGUGUAGAGGUGAAAUUCGUAGAUAUUCGGAGGAACACCAGUGGCGAAGGCGGCUU